UACGUAGGGUGCAAGCGUUGUCCGGAAUUAUUGGGCGUAAAGAGCUCGUAGGCGGUUUGUCGCGUCUGCUGUGAAAACUCGGGGCUCAACUCCGAGCUUGCAGUGGGUACGGGCAGACUAGAGUGUGGUAGGGGAGACUGGAAUUCCUGGUGUAGCGGUGAAAUGCGCAGAUAUCAGGGAGGAACACCGAUGGCGAAGGCAGGUCUCCUGGGCCACUACUGACGCUGAGAAGCGAAAGGCAUGGGGAGCGAACAGG
rnacentral:rRNA from 1 species